GACGAACGCUGGCGGCGUGCUUAACACAUGCAAGUCGAACGGAAAGGCCCUGCUUUCGUGGGGUGCUCGAGUGGCGAACGGGUGAGUAACACGUGAGUAACCUGCCCUUGACUUUGGGAUAACUUCAGGAAACUGGGGCUAAUACCGGAUAGGAGCUCCUGCUGCAUGGUGGGGGUUGGAAAGUUUCGGCGGUUGGGGAUGGACUCGCGGCUUAUCAGCUUGUUGGUGGGGUAGUGGCUUACCAAGGCUUUGACGGGUAGCCGGCCUGAGAGGGUGACCGGCCACAUUGGGACUGAGGUACGGCCCAGACUCCUACGGGAGGCAGCAGUGGGGAAUAUUGCACAAUGGGCGGAAGCCUGAUGCAGCAACGCCGCGUGCGGGAUGACGGCCUUCGGGUUGUAAACCGCUUUCGCCUGUGACGAAGCGUGAGUGACGGUAAUGGGUAAAGAAGCACCGGCUAACUACGUG
rnacentral:rRNA from 1 species